rnacentral:misc_RNA from 1 species
GAAAUGCGAUAAGUAGUGUGAAUUGCAGAAUUCAGUGAAUCAUCGAAUCUUUGAACGCACAUUGCGCCCUUUGGUAUUCCAAAGGGCAUGCCUGUUCGAGCGUCAUUUGUACCCUCAAGCUUUGCUUGGUGUUGGGCGUCUUGUCUCUAGCUUUGCUGGAGACUCGCCUUAAAGUAAUUGGCAGCCGGCCUACUGGUUUCGGAGCGCAGCACAAGUCGCACUCUCUAUCAGCAAAGGUCUAGCAUCCAUUAAGCCUUUUUUCAACUUUUGACCUCGGAUCAGGUAGGGAUACCCGCAGAACUUAAGC